AGCAUCCCCUAACUAAUACCGUAACCGCGCAGUCCCGUUUGACGGUGGUGCCGUGCCCAGCAUCGUGCCAAGGACUCCCCUACUUUAGCUCAUUUAAUCCUCAAAAAAUGCUAUUAUUCUCUUUUUACAGACCAUGAAAUGGAGGCUCAGGGGGUGAAGGGACUGAUCAAGAUCAUUCAGCAAUAAAUGCUGGAACCAGGACUCAACCAUGGCUUUUGGAUUCCGGAGCCUGUAUUCUUAACCACCAGCUCCUGCAGCUUGGUCCUCAUGAUCUGGGCAAGGGGGGAGGCUGAAGGCUGCAGCCCUCUUGUCAUCCAGAUGGGGAAACUGAGGCCCAGAGACUUUAAGGGGCGUAAGCACGGGUAAGUGGCAAGGUCGGCCCUGAGUACCCAGGCCUCCCGGCCCCCUGCUCCUGGCCUGAUACUCUAGGGAUGCAGGUGGGAGAAGCAGGGGUCCUGGGGGCUGCCUGGAGCUCUGGGAGGCAUUCUGAACGGGGUCUACUACUGAUCUCAGGAAACUCCAGCCUGGCCUCUGACCCCAGUUCAAUCCGACCAUGCCCAAGCCCAAGCGGGCCUUUCCUCCAGAACUGCUCCGGGGCCUGGCUGUGUGACUGGAGCAAGGUGCUAAACCUCUCUGUGCCUCGCUGGUCUAAUCUGUAAAAUGAAGGAAUGGAAACAGACCUCAUUAACUCAUUAAAUAUUUGUUGAGCACCUGC
rnacentral:lncRNA from 10 species